CAUCCCCAAAUUAAUGUCAGACAUCAAACUAUAGAUCUUGGAAGCUCAAAAAACACCAAGCAUAGUAAAUGCCAAAACAACUACAUCUAGGCAUAUCAUAUUCAAACUUCAGAAAGUCAAAGAUAAAAAGUCUCGGAAGAAGCCAGAGGAAAAAAACACCCUACUUACAGAGAAACAAAUAUGAAAAUUACAUAUGACUUCACAGAAGGCAUUCAACUAAUAAAAGACAGGAUAGACCUGCCUUGCAAAAAAUGUUAAAAGAACUUCUUCAGAGAGAAGGAAAAUGAUAUUAGUCAGAAACAUGGAUCUCCAUAAAGGAAGAGCAUCAGAAAAGACAUAGGUGAAGGUAUAAUAAAAACUUUGAUUUUUCUCAUUAAUUGAUGUAAGAUGUAAGACUUAAGUUUAUUCAAAAUAAAAAUAGCAACAAUGCAUUCAA